UUUUUUGUAGAGUUUGAUCCUAGCUCAGGAUGAACGCUGGCGGCGUGGAUAAGGCAUGCAAGUCGAAUGCCACACCUCCUAGCUUUGGUGCAUAAUGUAGUAAUGCAUUAUGUAUAUGUGUUGAAGAGUAAAAAGAAUGGGCGAACGUAUACUGGGUAUACCACUGAUUUGAAACAGCGCUUUGCUGAUCAUAAUAGUGGUAAGUCUCCGUAUACUAAAAACAAUCGUCCUUACGCACUGGUUUAUUAUGAAGCGUAUGUUUCAAAAUCAGAGGCACAAAAGCGUGAACGUAGUUUGAAAUUACGAUCUAACGCAUAUCUUCAACUGAGAAGACGUAUCACGUCUUCCAUUCACGAAAGUUAAGAGGUGUGGCAUGGCGAACGAGGUAGUAACACGUAGGUACGCACCCCAAAGUCGGGCAUAACCCGGAGAAAUCCGGAAUAAUUCUCGAUGGUCUCGUAAGAGUAAAGAUUUAUCGCUUUGGGAGCGGCCUGCGUCGUAUCAGCUUGUUGGUAAGGUAAUGGCUUACCAAGGCUAUGACGCGUAGGGGAGGUGAGAGCCUGACCCCCACCGAUGGAACUGAGACACGG
rnacentral:rRNA from 1 species